CAUUCUGACCAUAAAAACACUAA
rnacentral:snRNA from 1 species